ACGGAAGGUGCAAGCGUUGCUCGGAAUCACUGGGCGUAAAGGGUGCGUAGGCGGCCGUGUAAGUCUGGCGUGAAAGCCCCGGGCUCAGCCCGGGAAGUGCGCUCGAAACUGCGCGGCUCGAGUGCCGGAGGGGAGAGUGGAAUUCCUGGUGUAGCGGUGAAAUGCGUAGAUAUCAGGAGGAACACCAGUGGCGAAGGCGGCUUACUGGACUGUAACUGACACUGAGGCUCGAAAGCGUGGGGAGCAAACAGGA
rnacentral:rRNA from 1 species